rnacentral:rRNA from 1 species
GAUGAACGCUGGCGGCGUGCUUAACACAUGCAAGUCGAACGAUGAAGCCCAGCUUGCUGGGUGGAUUAGUGGCGAACGGGUGAGUAACACGUGAGUAACCUGCCCUUAACUCUGGGAUAAGCCUGGGAAACUGGGUCUAAUACCGGAUAGGAGCGUCCACCGCAUGGUGGGUGUUGGAAAGAUUUAUCGGUUUUGGAUGGACUCGCGGCCUAUCAGCUUGUUGGUGGGGUAAUGGCUCACCAAGGCGACGACGGGUAGCCGGCCUGAGAGGGUGACCGGCCACACUGGGACUGAGACACGGCCCAGACUCCUACGGGAGGCAGCAGUGGGGAAUAUUGCACAAUGGGCGCAAGCCUGAUGCAGCGAUGCCGCGUGAGGGAUGACGGCCUUCGGGUUGUAAACCUCUUUCAGUAGGGAAGAAGCGAAAGUAACGGUACCUGCAGAAGAAGCACCGGCUAACUACGUG